AGAAGCUCAAAAUAAAAGGGGAACUUGUGCACUGCACAUGAUUAUUUACAAGGAGAGAAAGCUGCAUUAGCAUGAAAAAUAAGUCUUCUACUAGAUUAGAGAUUACAGAACCACAUGCUUAAGGAGCGAUAUUAUGGAGAUCUUGGAGAUGGUUUAAAGUGAUUUAUGCUUGGGAUUAAAAAAGUAUUCUGUAAGAGUAACCUGCAAAUCCCAGCAAGGGUGAUUUCAAAGCUCACUGAAAAGCAGGAUCUUUUCCUUUAAAAGGGAUUGUUUUUCUUCUAAUUGCAAAAGAAAACCCUGCUGGAGAAGUAAGAGUGCUGUUAUCCAGCAGUCCUGACUGUCAGAAGGCAGCUGCUGUUGCUAGGAGCAAGCGAAGGGUACAGACAAAAUUGAUUCGAGUUGGACUGUGAUGACAGCUAUGAAUGCAAGUCCUACUUCUGGAAGGGCACACUAGCUUUUAUGAGGAGGGAGCAUUCAAAGAUGAAGGAGACAUGCAACAACCUUCUUUAUUCUUUUGCACAAGUCUGCCUACACCCAAGGGGACAGGAUUAUACAAGGUGUGUACACCAAUGGAUGAGAAACUUGAGCAUCAUCUUAGAAGUUACCUACUGCAGAGGUGCCUGCGUCCUGAUGCUUCGCUUCCUUGGGAGUGGAGGGAGGAGCCAUCGCAGUCCUUUCCUGCAUAAUGAUUCCAUUUUGGACUAUCUUAAGCUCUCAAAGAAAUUCCACAAUACCGAACUCCGAAAGAGAAGGUGGUUAAGAUGCUAUGAUUCCUUUUUUUACAAGAAAUUCUUUUUAAGAUUUUUAAGCAAAGAUUCCCAUUGUUUCUCUAGUAGCAACCAGGAACAAAUAGUGAGCAAUAUUGGGAAGAGGAUGUCUGUGC
rnacentral:lncRNA from 1 species